rnacentral:rRNA from 1 species
GAGCGUUCUGUAAGCCUGCGAAGGUGUCUUGUGAAGGAUGCUGGAGGUAUCAGAAGUGCGAAUGCUGACAUGAGUAGCGAUAAAGGGGGUGAAAGGCCCCCUCGCCGUAAGCCCAAGGUUUCCUACGCAACGUUCAUCGGCGUAGGGUGAGUCGGCCCCUAAGGCGAGGCAGAGAUGCGUAGCUGAUGGGAAACAGGUCAAUAUUCCUGUACCGAUG